CACGUAGGGCGCAAGCGUUGUCCGGAAUUAUUGGGCGUAAAGAGCUCGUAGGCGGUCUGUUGCGUCCGCUGUGAAAACUCGGGGCUUAACCCCGAGCCUGCAGUGGAUACGGGCAGACUAGAGGUAGGUAGGGGGGGAAUGGAAUUCCCGGUGUAGCGGUGAAAUGCGCAGAUAUCGGGAGGAACACCGGUGGCGAAGGCGGGUCUCUGGGCCGAUACUGACGCUGAGGAGCGAAAGCGUGGGGAGCGAACAGG
rnacentral:rRNA from 1 species